UUCCCUGUGGCUCAGUUGGUAGAGCAUGGUGUUUGCAACGCCAGCAUGGUGUGUGCAACGCCAGGGUUGUGGGUUUGAUUCCCACGGGGGACC
rfam:Salmo salar isolate Sally breed double haploid chromosome ssa11, whole genome shotgun sequence.